GACGAACGCUGGCGGCGUGCUUAACACAUGCAAGUCGAACGGUGACCUUGAGGGCUUGCCUUCAAGUGAUCAGUGGCGAACGGGUGAGUAACACGUGAGUAACCUGCCCCAGACUCUGGGAUAACUUCGGGAAACCGGAGCUAAUACCGGAUAUGACACGGAGAUGCAUGUCUACCGUGUGGAAAGUUUUUCGGUCUGGGAUGGGCUCGCGGCCUAUCAGCUUGUUGGUGAGGUAAUGGCUCACCAAGGCGACGACGGGUAGCCGGCCUGAGAGGGCGACCGGCCACACUGGGACUGAGACACGGCCCAGACUCCUACGGGAGGCAGCAGUGGGGAAUAUUGCACAAUGGGCGCAAGCCUGAUGCAGCGACGCCGCGUGAGGGAUGACGGCCUUUGGGUUGUAAACCUCUUUCAGCAGGGAAGAAGCGCAAGUGACGGUACCUGCAGAAGAAGCACCGGCUAACUACGUGCCAGCCGCCGCGGUAAAAC
rnacentral:rRNA from 1 species